GUUGCUGUGCCUUGAAUCUCGUUCACCCAGUUCUGAUGUGUCGCAGGUAUUAACCACGGACCUGUGAUAGCCGGUGUGAUUGGAGCUCAGAAACCGCAGUAUGAUAUCUGGGGCAACACUGUAAACGUGGCCAGCAGGAUGGACAGCACCGGCGUGCUGGACAAGAUACAGGUCACCGAGGAGACCAGCCUCAUCCUCCAGACCCUGGGGUACACGUGCACGUGUCGAGGAAUAAUCAAUGUGAAAGGCAAGGGGGAGCUGAAGACGUACUUUGUGAACACAGAAAUGUCAAGGUCCCUUUCCCAGAGCAACUUGGCAUCCUGAAGAGUUGCCUUCACUUGGGCAAGAAGACUGUAUUUUCAGGAAGGUACAACGCACUUUUUGACUGCAACCUUUGUCCCUCUUUUUUGAUGUGCGUGCUCUGUUCUGUCCUAUGGAGCCUUUCAGACUUGUUCCUAUGACCCUGGUGGCAUAUCGUUUGGUGUCUGACGUGUGCCAAGAUCGCUCUGCCACUUGCACUGUGCUUACUCCGAAGCAGAAGGAAAAGGAGUGUGUGUUAUAGGAGAAACGCGUUCAACGAACUCACAAAGAUGACAGACGUGAAAUAAACAAAAAUUCUUAAGGCAAUAAAACUAGGGGGUGUAUAUUAUCUUCCGGUGCAUGUUCUUUUCUGGAAAAUAUGGUAGCUCGCCAACCGCAUCCGCUAGUCUGAUAUUAAAACACACAGUAUUUGUGAAUAAGUUGAUUUCUGUCACCCCACAUGGGAUUUGACUGUGUUCACCCACGUGUCUCAUCGCCAGUGGCUGUCCACGGGCCCCAGCGGGAUCCGUGGUCCUGUCGCCUUGCUGUGUCGUGUCUCGUGCCAUCCAUCACCAGGAUUAGUUCUCACAACCUAGAACCAGUUUUGUACCAAACGCGUCUGAUGUUUUGAUGCCAUUGUCUUUUGUAAGGUUGAUUCAUUAAAAGUUUUAUGUA